rnacentral:tRNA from 1 species
GAGAGAGGCUCUGCGGCAAUAAGAACUGCUAACUCUUACUACCAUGGUUAGACUCCAUGGCUCCCUCA